rnacentral:rRNA from 1 species
CACAUGCAAGUCGAACGCGUGUAGCAAUACACGAGUGGCGCACGGGUGAGUAACGCGUGGAUAUCUGCCUUUUGGUUCGGAAUAACUCCGGGAAACUGGAGCUAAUACCGGAUGGUUCCUACGGGAUAAAGAUUUAUCGCCAAAGAUGAGUCCGCGUACGAUUAGCUAGUUGGUGAGGUAAUGGCUCACCAAGGCGACGAUCGUUAGCUGGUCUGAGAGGACGAUCAGCCACACUGGGACUGAGACACGGCCCAGACUCCUACGGGAGGCAGCAGUGGGGAAUAUUGGACAAUGGGGCAACCCUGAUCCAGCCAUGCCGCGUGAGUGAUGAAGGCCUUCGGGUUGUAAAGCUCUUUUGGCGGGGACGAUGAUGACGGUACCCGCAGAAUAAGCCCCGGCUAACUUCGUG